CCUACGGGUGGCAGCAGUGAGGAAUAUUGGUCAAUGGCCGAGAGUCUGAACCAGCCAAGUCGCGUGAGGGAUGACGGCCCUACGGGUUGUAAACCUCUUUUGUCGGGGAGCAAAGAGAGUCACGUGUGGCUCAUUGAGAGUACCCGAAGAAAAAGCAUCGGCUAACUCCGUGCCAGCAGCCGCGGUAAUACGGAGGAUGCGAGCGUUAUCCGGAUUUAUUGGGUUUAAAGGGUGCGCAGGCGGAGGUGCAAGUCAGUGGUCAAAUUGUGGGGCUCAACCCCGUACUGCCGUUGAAACUGCAUCCCUUGAGUGCGCGAGAAGUAUGCGGAAUGCGUGGUGUAGCGGUGAAAUGCGUAGAUAUAUGGAAGAACACCAGUGGCGAAAGCGGCUCUCUGGUCUGUAACUGACGCUGAGGUUCGAAAGCGUGGGUAGCAAACAGGAUUAGAUACCCCUGUAGUC
rnacentral:rRNA from 1 species